rnacentral:rRNA from 1 species
UACGAAGGGGGGCUAGCGUUGCUCGGAAUCACUGGGCGUAAAGGGUGCGUAGGCGGGUCUUUUAAGUCAGGGGUGAAAUCCUGGAGCUCAACUCCAGAACUGCCUUUGAUACUGAGGAUCUUGAGUUCGGGAGAGGUGAGUGGAACUGCGAGUGUAGAGGUGAAAAUUCGUAGAUAUUCGCAAGAACACCAGUGGCGAAGGCGGACUCACUGGCCCGAUACUGACGCUGAGGCACGAAGGUCAGGGGAGACAACGGG